GCGCCCGUAGCUCAGUUGGAUAGAGCGCCGGCCUCCGGAGCCGGAUGCGGGGGUUCAAGUCCCUCCGGGCGUACCA
rnacentral:tRNA from 1 species